rnacentral:rRNA from 1 species
CGACGUUUGGUUUUUUUUUUUUACCCGGGUGGUCACUCGGCUCGUGUGUCGAUGAAGAGCGCAGCCAACUGUGUGAAUUAAUGCAAACUGCAUACUGCUUUGAACAUCGACAUCUUGAACGCAUAUUGCGGCCAUGGGUUAGCCUGUGGCCACGCCUGUCCGAGGGUCGGCUUAUAAACUAUCACGACGCCCAAAAAGUCGUGGCUUGGGUUUUGCCAGCUGGCGUGAUCUCCUCUAUGAGUAAUCAUGUGAGGUGCCAGAUCUAUGGCGUUUCCCUAAUGUAUCCGGAUGCACCCUUGUCUUGGCAGAAAGCCGUGGUGAGGUGCAGUGGCGGAAUCGUGGUUUAAUAAUCGGGUUGGUACUCAGUUGUCAGUGUGUUCGGCGAUCCCCUAGUCGGCACACUCAUGAUUUCUGGGAUAAUUCCAUACCAGGCACGUUCCGUUACUGUUACUUUGUCAUUGGUUUGAUGCUGAACUUGGUCAUGUGUCUGAUGCUAUUUCAUAUAACGACGGUACCCUUCGUGGUCUGUCUUCCUGACCUCGGUUCAGACGUGAUUACCCGCCGCGCUAUGCAAUACGGUCAUG